CACGUCAGCGCGCUUUGCUGACGUGGCAGCAAAUCGCGUCCUGGAGGGCUCGAUUUGUUGUCAUGUCAGGAAAGCUCGCUGACGUGG
rfam:Gossypium raimondii Chr09_contig_703, whole genome shotgun sequence.